AGGACGAACGCUGGCGGCGUGCUUAACACAUGCAAGUCGCGGGGGGUGAGCAAUCACUCACCGGCGAACGGGUGCGUAACACGUGAGCGACCUGCCCACUUGUGGGGUAUAGCCGGCCCAACGGCCGGGUAAUCCCGCAUACGCUUCUCUGGCUGCAUGGCCGGGGAGAAGCCGUAAGGCGCAAGUGGAGGGGCUCGCGGCCUAUCAGCUAGUUGGCGGGUAACGCCACCAAGGCGAUGACGGGUAGCUGGUCUGAGAGGAUGGCCAGCCACAUUGGGACUGAGAUACGGCCCAGACUCCUACGGGAGGCAGCAGUGGGAAUCGUUGCGCAAUGGUCGAAAGACUGACGCAGCGACGCCGCGUGCGGAGGAAGCCCUUCGGGGGUGUAAACCGCUGUUACGUCGGGACGAACGUUCUACGAUUCAUCGAGAUUGGACGGUACCGGGAGAAGCACCGGCUAACUCUGUGCCAGCAGCCGC
rnacentral:rRNA from 1 species